rnacentral:rRNA from 1 species
UACGUAGGUGGCAAGCGUUGUCCGGAUUUACUGGGCGUAAAGAGCGCGCAGGCGGUCGGAUAAGUCGAAUGUGAAAGCCCCCGGCUCAACUGGGGAGGGUCAUUCGAUACUGUUCGACUCGAAGGCAGGAGAGGGAAGUGGAAUUCCCGGUGUAGCAGUGAAAUGCGUAGAUAUGCGGAGGAACACCGAUGGCGAAGGCAAUCCCCUGGGCCUGCACUGACGCUCAUGCACGAAAGCGUGGGGAGCAAACAGG